CAGAUGGGUCUUCUCACGCGACUUUCAGAUGUGGCCUCAUGGACGGGAAGGUCACCUCCACCACACGCGCUCCUGCCCGUGUCCAAGGGGAGAGGCUCCGCUUUUCCACGGGAGGAGCGCCAGAAUUGAGGGAAAGAACAUGUUUAACAAUCACGACAUCUCCACAACAUUUCUCAUUCGCUCUCUGACCAGUGCCACUCAACGUGUCAUCUCGUCACAAGACAAGGAGCUUAUACCAGAAGAGACAUCAGCAUGCUGCCCCUUCGUCAGGACAGUCUUGUCAGCUGACCCAACUGCGCUGCCUCUCAGGGUCCUGGGACACAGCGGAAGACCCCAGGAGUGUGGUGCGCUUCUGAUUGUGCGGCACUGUCGAGCGUGU
rnacentral:lncRNA from 10 species